GAAACCAACAGGGAUUGCCCCAGUAACGGCGAGUGAAGCGGCAACAGCUCAAAUUUGAAAUCUGGCCCCCAGGGCCCGAGUUGUAAUUUGCAGAGGAUGCUUUUGGCGAGGUGCCUUCCGAGUUCCCUGGAACGGGACGCCAUAGAGGGUGAGAGCCCCGUCUGGUUGGAUACCGAGCCUCUGUAAAGCUCCUUCGACGAGUCGAGUAGUUUGGGAAUGCUGCUCUAAAUGGGAGGUAUAUGUCUUCUAAAGCUAAAUACCGGCCAGAGACCGAUAGCGCACAAGUAGAGUGAUCGAAAGAUGAAAAGCACUUUGAAAAGAGGGUUAAACAGUACGUGAAAUUGUUGAAAGGGAAGCGCUUGUGACCAGACUUGGGCCCGGUGAAUCAUCCAGCGUUCUCGCUGGUGCACUUUGCCGGGCCCAGGCCAGCAUCAGUUUGCCUCGGGGGAUAAAGGCUCUGGGAAUGUGGCUCCUCCGGGAGUGUUAUAGCCCGUUGCAUAAUGCCCUGGGGCGGACUGAGGUUCGCGCAUCUGCAAGGAUGCUGGCGUAAUGGUCAUCAGCGGCCCGUCUUGAAACACGGACCAAGGAGUCGUCUUCGUAUGCGAGUGUUCGGGUGUAAAACCCCUACGCGGAAUGAAAGUGAACGCAGGUGAGAGCUUCGGCGCAUCAUCGACCGAUCCUGAUGUUCUCGGAUGGAUUUGAGUAAGAGCAUACGGGGCCGGACCCGAAAGAAGGUGAACUAUGCCUGUAUAGGGUGAAGCCAGAGGAAACUCUGGUGGAGGCUCGCAGCGGUUCUGACGUGCAAAUCGAUCGUCAAAUAUGGGCAUGGGGGCGAAAGACUAAUC
rnacentral:rRNA from 1 species